UUCCUGGCAGUCCAGUGGUUAAGACUCUGCACUUUCAAUGCAGGGGGCAUGGGUUUGAUCCCUGGCUGGGGAA
rfam:TPA: Bos taurus chromosome X, whole genome shotgun sequence.